rnacentral:rRNA from 1 species
UACGUAGGGUGCGAGCGUUGUCCGGAAUUAUUGGGCGUAAAGAGCUCGUAGGCGGUUUGUUGCGUCUAUCGUGAAAACCUGCAGCUUAACUGUGGGCUUGCGGUGGAUACGGGCAGACUUGAGUUCGGUAGGGGAGACUGGAAUUCCUGGUGUAGCGGUGAAAUGCGUAGAUAUCUGGAGGAACACCGGUGGCGAAGGCGGCAUCCUGGACCAAUUCUGACGCUGAGUGAGCGAAAGCCAGGGGAGCAAACGGG